CAAACUUAAAGAUUGCAGUUUAUUGAUAAGCCUUCUAUGUGCAACAGUGUCAAAAGCCUUACUGAAAUCUAGGUAAGCAAUGUCUACUGCACCACCCUGAUCUAUAAUUUUAGUUACCCAAUCAAAAAAAUCAAUAAGAUUAGUUUGGCAUGAUCUCCCUGAAGUAAACCCAUGUUGUCUCUGAUCUUGAAAUCCAUGUGUUUUUAGAUGUUUAACAAUCCUAUCCUUUAACAUGGUUUCCAUUACUUUCCCCACUACUGAAGUAAGGCUUACUGGCCUAUAGUUGCCCGACUCCUCCCUAUUACCUUUCUUGUGAAUGGGCA